UGUCAGCUAGCACCUCUGACCACAUACUAACAAAACCAAUAUCUCUUGUUACAUAUUGACAAUGGGGAUAAAUUAUUUACAGUAUUUGAUGACUUUUACACUAGUCUAGGCAGUUAAGCAACUAUAAUUUCAGCUGAUUAUUUAAAUCCUAAGUUGGCAGAAUUUGUUCUGAUUGUAUAAGUUUUCCUAUGCAUUGAUUGCGUAUUAGUAUUUGCUUUUAGUUUGUAAAGGUCCAUGUUUCCCUAGUUUCUGGUGAUCAUAGUUCCUUGUGUUUUGGUAGGCUAUAAUUUCAGAGUACCUAUUUUAUUAAGGAGGCCAAGAUUUUUUAUUUUGGUUGGUCAAUAAUGAGGAUGGUUUGCAGGUAUUCAAUGAACCUAAAUGGAAACUGGAAAUAAUUUUGCAGUAUUUCUGGAAAUACACAGCUAAGCCUUCUAUUUGCACACGGAGAUCGAAUGGUUCUUCAGAUGAUGCAACAUUUAGUGGAGCUUUGAAGUGCUUUUCCAGUAGUACUAGCACAAAAGGCAUCAUAAAAAAAAUUGGUAUAGAAGUAAUUCAGUUGCUUUUAGCACAUGGUUUUAAGGCUCAUUUGUUUCUAUCGACCGAACAAUGUCCUGCUCUAGGUAUCUCAGAUUGCAAGGAAGAUGUGAGCGGCAACUCUCUUGUGGAAGUAUGCAAGAAUAUGAUCUCUGCUUUCCAUAGUAUGAGAAGAGCAGAUGAGCACAUGGGGGUUUUGUCAUUUGGAAAGGAAGCACUGUUUACAGCAGCAACAAUACUCUCUACAAAGUCAUAGGAGCAUGGAGUCAUUGAUUUGCUGUGAAGGAUGGUAUGCUGCAUGUAACUUACCUGCUGACCCCUCUAUAUAUUUUUGGCCCGUCAUACUUACCUGCUGACCCAAGUUUUUGUCCCUGUAAUUCAAUGUAUGCUUAAUUUAGUUGUAUAUCUGUUUGGCUUCGAUGUAUC